UUCACAGAUCAUAUUAAGCAGAGAUAACUAAGGAUGUUAAGUUUCUGUAUGGGAGGGGCGGGGUCAUUUGAACUGUUCUGUGUUGAAGCGGUGCGAAGGCUCACGGGAAAAAAAAAUUGUG